rnacentral:rRNA from 1 species
UACGUAGGCAGCGAGCGUUGUUCGGAGGUACUGGGCGUAAAGAGGGCGUAGGCGGUUUUCUAAGUUUGGUGUGAAAUCUCCCGGCUUAACUGGGAGGGUGCGCCGAAAACUGGAAGGCUUGAGUAUGGGAGAGGUAAGCGGAAUUCCUGGUGUAGCGGUGAAAUGCGUAGAUAUCAGGAGGAACACCUGCGGUGUAGACGGCUUACUGGACCAUAACUGACGCUGAGGCACGAAAGCGUGGGGAUCAAACAGG